rnacentral:rRNA from 1 species
UGGGGAAUUUUGGACAAUGGGGGAAACCCUGAUCCAGCCAUCCCGCGUGUGCGAUGAAGGCCUUCGGGUUGUAAAGCACUUUUGGCAGGAAAGAAACGUCGCGGGUUAAUACCCCGCGAAACUGACGGUACCUGCAGAAUAAGCACCGGCUAACUACGUGCCAGCAGCCGCGGUAAUACGUAGGGUGCAAGCGUUAAUCGGAAUUACUGGGCGUAAAGCGUGCGCAGGCGGUUCGGAAAGAAAGAUGUGAAAUCCCAGAGCUUAACUUUGGAACUGCAUUUUUAACUACCGGGCUAGAGUGUGUCAGAGGGAGGUGGAAUUCCGCGUGUAGCAGUGAAAUGCGUAGAUAUGCGGAGGAACACCGAUGGCGAAGGCAGCCUCCUGGGAUAACACUGACGCUCAUGCACGAAAGCGUGGGGAGCAAACAGGAUUAGAUACCCUGGUAGUCCACGCCCUAAAACGAUGUCAACUAGCUGUUGGGGCCUUCGGGCCUUGGUAGCGCAGCUAACGCGUGAAGUUGACCGCCUGGGGAGUACGGUCGCAAGAUUAAAAACUUAAAUGAAUUG